CACCGGCACCUGUCUGUAAUUAGCCGUCUUAAUGAUGCGACUCACCUGUCGUCGGUGGGACGUAACAAACGUCUUCUUCCCCAAACAUGACCGGGCCGCUCCUCGCGGAGGACACGGCGACGGGCCGCAUUGGGCGAAGCACAGGUGUAAAUAAUAAAGGAUGGUGUCGGGAGUCCCCUCCUCAAACAGGCCAAGGAGACUCAACAUGUUGGCAGGGACCCUUCUGCUGACGAGAUGAGGGUGCUGGUAUGUGUUGCGGGGAGCUGGAGGGAGCUGGCGGGGGUCACUGGAGGAGGCUCUCGUGGGGAGUG